rfam:Colius striatus contig77016, whole genome shotgun sequence.
CCAAAGGCUCUUUUUAGAGCCACCCACCUUCUCAUAAAAGAGCUGU